GGAGAGGUGGCCGAGUGGUCGAUGGCGUAAGUCUUGAAAACUUAUGUGGCGCAAGUCACCGUGGGUUCGAAUCCCACCCUCUCCG
rnacentral:tRNA from 1 species